rnacentral:lncRNA from 8 species
AUGAGUAUAGACAUACCUGCUGCGCCUUGGUCCAUUCUUGACGACGAUUGUGUCAGAACUACCCACCACAAAAGGACCAAGCAGCGGAAGAGGAGGAAGCCACAGGAGAACAGGGUGGAUGAAUGGACAUGGGAGGACGUCCUGGACGGCAAGGGAGUCUACACUUGGGAAGAGAUCCUGGCCAGAAGGGAUCGCCUCCCAUGGGAACAGGUGGAGGCACUCAGGAGAGUGGAGGCAGCUGGACAGAGGAACCAACGCGAACGUUAUGCUAGAACACGGCUGGCGAGGAAGCCGGAGAGGCACCCCCAAUAUUUUUUGGGGGGGGGGCACACGGGUAGUUUGGUCAGGCCAAGGAAGAGCCGUAAGCCAGCUACCCGUGAUUACAAGGAGGUGCGUAUGAGGUGGAGGGCGCCAUGUUACGCUGAGGCUGGCACGUCCAGGCUGGCACGUCCAGUACCAGCCCCACGCAUCAAGCGUCUAGUGCGUCAGCCUCGCCAGUCAAGAGUCACCAGAGCUGUCCGCCAGUCAAGAGUCCCCAGAGCUGUCCGCCAGUCAAGAGUCGCCAGAGCUUUCUGCCAGUCAAGAGUCGCCAGAGCUGUCCGCCAGUCAAGAGUCGCCAGAGCUGUCCGCCAGUCAAGAGUCGCCAGAGCUGUCCGCCAGUCAAGAGUCGCCAGAGCUGUCCGCCAGUCAAGAGUCGCCAGAGCUGUCCGCCAGUCAAGAGUCGCCAGAGCUGUCCGCCAGUCAAGAGUCGCCAGAGCUGUCCGCCAGUCAAGAGUCGCCAGAGCUGUCCGCCAGUCAAGAGUCGCCAGAGCCGCCCGCCAGUCAGGAGUCGCCAGAGCCGCCCGCCAGUCAGGAGUCGCCAGAGCCGCCCGCCAGUCAGGAGCCGCCAGAGCCGCCCGCCAGUCAGGAGCCGCCAGAGCAGCCCGACUGCCCGGAGCCGCCAGAGCGCCCCAACUGCCCGGAGCCGCCAGAGCGGCCCGACUGCCCGGAGCCGCCAGAGCGGCCAGACUGCCCGGAGCCGCCAGAGCGGCCCGACUGCCCGGAACCGCCAGAGCGGCCCGACUGCCCGGAGCCGCCAGAGCGGCCCGC